AAGAAGCUCAAUGGAAAGGC
rnacentral:misc_RNA from 1 species